rnacentral:misc_RNA from 1 species
UAUAUAUAGGGGGGUGGCGAGAGCUGGUAGCCAGAUGCUUUGUCCUGCUGUUGCUGGAGGAUUUCAACCCGCCCGACCCUAGACGCUAAACGAGCCAACCGUGUUUUGCGUCGUGGUAUUUGAUGCUUUCUUUGUGAUCCUAGUCGGAAAAUGUGGCUCGUUGCUCCAGAUCGUUUUAGGAUUUGCCACACCUUCGGCUGGGUGAUCUGGAUUGCAGAAAUGCCGAAUGUCCCUAUCGAUGAAACAUAUGGCGUUGUGGGCCUCGCAACGGUUUUGGUACGUGCUUGUGGUAUGAUCUCGUGACAAAUCAUUACUCGUCACUCAAGCUUGACUAGUGACUUGUUUUGAGAUGUUUGAGGUGACGGUGAGCAUGACGAGGCAUGUAGGAAUUGUUGUGAAGGUCGAGAUGUCUCUCGACCCGAUCAACUAUGACAACGUCAUUAAGUAGUCUAGCUUGUUGAUCCGAGUUUGAUCCAUGAACUGCUUCCAAAUUGUUGUUUUGGGGCUUGUCUUGCUAAAGACUUUUUGAUUGAAGCUAGUCGAAACUGACGGGGACCCUUUUUUUGAUGAAAAACCUUCGGCGUUGUGGGUCUUGCAACGCCAUAGUUAUUUGCUUGCCAGACGAACCUAGUACGAAGCAUUACUCGUCACACGAGCUUUGCUAGUGACUUGUUUUGCCAAAGUCAUGGUGACUCGGUUUGCAUGACGACGCAUGUCGGAUUCGUUGGUUGUUAUUCUCUUCGCAUCGUUCGGUGCAUCCUGGGAGAUGUUCAGACCUUUGGUUGCUUGCUUGGCUUCUAUGCCUUGUGGGUGGCUAAUUGUUUGUCGUUUUUCGGGGAUGAUUACCGUAAAGGUGCAUGAGUGGUGUUUGGUUUGUUUCCGGUGGUUGGCUCUCUGCUUUUGCAACAACUUCCACCGGGCAUUCCUCUUCAGUUUUGCGUCAAGGUUGCAUUUCCUUGAGCGCUUAUGGUUUUGUGUGUUGCUUACCUACAUGACGGCAUGGGUUGAUUACAUCAAAGUCGUGUUUCAUCAUUUGUCAUAUCUAUGGCGUAGGAUGAACCUCGAAGCUGCUUUCUAUGGUCCACCUUGUCGAUGCACACGCGUUGAUGUUGUGGCUCAUUGAGUUCCGCUUGUUUUUCUGGAUACAGAACGUGAUAUGGGUGUGGGUCUUACGUGAUCCUUGUUUUGCCCUUGUUGAACGUUGUUAUUACUCUGAGAUCACCGCCUAUCCUAAAAUGGCUCGUACCAUUGGGAUAGGUUAAGAUGUGUAGGAGCAAUAAUAGCGUUCAUGCUUCUCUAAAAAGACGGCCUCGCCUGCAUUGGCUUUGUACAAGCGGGUAGGCUAUGUCAAAUAGGGAUGC